CCCCUGGGGUGGGAAGUAUGGGGAGUGGUGCCUGUCCUGUGGAGAGAAUCCCUCUGCCCUGUGUCAGCAGCCUUGAGGAGGAAAAGCUGGGCUGAAACCACAGAUCCUUGUUUGGAUGAAUAUGACAGUGUCCCCAAGGGGCUUCUCCUCCUCAAAAUAGCUGGAGGUGUUUAACACAGCCCUGCUCCAGAUGAUGGUAUCAAGGUGUAAUCAAGAGUGGAAGGAGCCUCAAAGAAGGAAAAUGUGGAAUCUGAAGCAGCAAAAAUUAGAGCCUCCCUGCCAGGCUGUGGUUCUUGUGAUUUACCUACAUGGACUGCCUGGAGCUACAGAGAUUCAGGACCUG